UACGUGAGGGGCGAACGUUGUUCGGUGUCACUGGGCUUAAAGGGUGCGUAGGUGGUUGCGUAAGUAAGGUGUGAAAGCCCUCGGCUUACCCGGGGAAUUGCGCCUUAUACUGCGUGACUUGAGGAUUUCAGGGGAAUGGGGAACUCCAGGUGUAGCGGUGAAAUGCGCAGAUAUCAGGAGGAACACCGGUGGCGAAGGCGGAUCUCUGGGCCUUACCUGACGCUGAGGAGCGAAAGCAUGGGGAGCAAACAGG
rnacentral:rRNA from 1 species